UACGUAGGGGGCAAGCGUUGUCCGGAAUCAUUGGGCGUAAAGCGCGCGUAGGCGGCCCGAUAAGUCUGCUGUGAAAGUCCAGGGCUCAACCCUGGAAUGCCGGUGGAUACUGUCGGGCUAGAGUUCGGAAGAGGCAAGUGGAAUUCCUGGUGUAGCGGUGGAAUGCGCAGAUAUCAGGAGGAACACCUAUAGCGAAGGCAGCUUGCUGGGACGACACUGACGCUAAGGCGCGAAAGCGUGGGGGAGCGAACAGG
rnacentral:rRNA from 1 species